rnacentral:misc_RNA from 1 species
AAGUCGUAACAAGGUUUCCGUAGGUGAACCUGCGGAAGGAUCAUUACAGUGCCAGCGGGAGCGUCGCGGCCCUCCCCCCUAACCCGGGGGAUGUGUUCGAUCGGCGCCCUGCUACCGGCCCCACACUUGUCUACAGACCGCGUUGCCUCGGCGGGCCCGCCGCUUAGUCGGCCGCCGGGGGGGACUGAUCUCCCCCCUGGCCAGCGCCCGCCGGAGGACCGAUCGAAAUAUCUUUUUUUAAUGAGUUGCAGUCUGAGCGAUAAUCGCAAAUGAAUCAAAACUUUCAACAAUGGAUCUCUUGGUUCCG